rnacentral:lncRNA from 1 species
ACCAAUGAGGUGUCUAGUGUCACUCUUCCAGCAGCUCUUCCCUUCCAGAGGAUUUCCGGUCACUUAAAAACCCACAGAACGGCCUCCUAAAGGACAAACAACUUGUGGUCACGCGGCUUCGAGGAAUUCAUCCUCCUCGCUCACCGGAAAAUAAAAGUAGGCACCGACGUUACAAGCCUCUCACACCUCUCUUCAUUCCCGUAUCUCGCGUUUCGUUUGCUUUAUCCCAAUCCAGCGAAGAAAAAGAAUCACCACGACUGCUCAUUCUCUUCCCAUCCUGGUUCUGAAUUGCAACAGAAUUAUGGAAUCCUCCAAGUGGGAAGAACGGAUCCAUUAGCAACCAAACGGCAACACAAGGUUGUGCUCCGCGUCGUCGGGCCCUAAAUUUGCAGCACGAAGACAUCAGCGUCCCCCCGGUGAGGUCUGGAAGCGUGUGCCAUCCAUCGAGUGGGAAAGGAAUCGAAGCGAGAGCUUUGGCAGAGGAAGUGGACACGUGAAGGACGUGGGUGAAAGUAGAACCACAAAAAAGUAAACUGG